UGGCUGUAGCCAAAUUAAAUAAUAUUGAAGCUAACUGGCCGGUUAUUGUGAGAAUCCUUUGGGUCUCUGUCAAUAGAUCUGCUUACCGAGCUUCUUACAUUU